rnacentral:rRNA from 1 species
UACGUAGGGUGCGAGCGUUAAUCGGAAUUACUGGGCGUAAAGCGUGCGCAGGCGGUGAUGUAAGACAGUUGUGAAAUCCCCGGGCUCAACCUGGGAACUGCAUUUGUGACUGCAUGGCUUGAGUGCGGCAGAGGGGGAUGGAAUUCCGCGUGUAGCAGUGAAAUGCGUAGAUAUGCGGAGGAACACCGAUGGCGAAGGCAAUCCCCUGGGCCUGCACUGACGCUCAUGCACGAAAGCGUGGGGAGCAAACAGG